rnacentral:rRNA from 1 species
GAUGGACGCUGGCGGCGUGCCUAAUACAUGCAAGUCGAGCGAACAGAUAAGGAGCUUGCUCCUUUGACGGUAGCGGCGGACGGGUGAGUAACACGUGGGUAACCUACCUAUAAGACUGGGAUAACUUCGGGAAACCGGAGCUAAUACCGGAUAAUAUUUCGAACCGCAUGGUUCGAUAGUGAAAGAUGGUUUUGCUAUCACUUAUAGAUGGACCCGCGGCGUAUUAGCUAGUUGGUAAGGUAACGGCUUACCAAGGCGACGAUAGGUAGCCGACCUGAGAGGGUGAUCGGCCACACUGGAACUGAGACACGGUCCAGACUCCUACGGGAGGCAGCAGUAGGGAAUCUUCCGCAAUGGGCGAAAGCCUGACGGAGCAACGCUGCGUGAGUGAUGAAGGUCUUCGGCUCGUAAAACUCUGUUAUUAGGGAAGAACAUACGUGUAAGUACCUGUGCACAUCUUGACGGUACCUAAUCAGAAAGCCACGGCUAACUACGUG